rnacentral:rRNA from 1 species
UAAGGGCGGUGAAGUCAGACCGGAAGGACUGGUGGAGCGCUUAGAAGUGAGAAUGCCGGUAUGAGUAGCGAAAGAAGGGUGAGAAUCCCUUCCACCGAAUAUCUAAGGUUUCCUGAGGAAGGCUCGUCCGCUCAGGGUUAGUCGGGACCUAAGCCGAGGCCGAUAGGCGUAGGCGAUGGACAACAGGUAGAGAUUCCUGUACCAGUGCUAAUUGUUUAACCGAUGGGGUGACACAGAAGGAUAGGGAAUCGCACGAAUGGAAAUGUGCGUCCAAGCAGUGAGUGUGAGAAGUAGGCAAAUCCGCUUCUCGCGAAGCAUGAGCUGUGAUGGGGAAGGAAAUUAAGUACGGAAGUUCCUGAUUUCACGCUGUCAAGAAAAGCCUCUAGGAAGAGUAGUACUGCCCGUACCGCAAACCGACACAGGUAGAUGAGGAGAGAAUCCUAAGGUGAGCGAGAGAACUCUCGUUAAGGAACUCGGCAAAAUGACCCCGUAACUUCGGGAGAAGGGGUGCUCUAUUAGGGUGCAAGCCCGAGAGAGCCGCAGUGAAUAGGCCCAGGCGACUGUUUAGCAAAAACACAGGUCUCUGCAAAACCGUAAGGUGACGUAUAGGGGCUGACGCCUGCCCGGUGCUGGAAGGUUAAGAGGAGUGCUUAGCUUCGGCGAAGGUACGAAUUGAAGCCCCAGUAAACGGCGGCCGUAACUAUAACGGUCCUAAGGUAGCGAAAUUCCUUGUCGGGUAAGUUCCGA